GCAGUACAGCACUUCAGCGAACGGCAGUACCCUCUGACAGACCGGCCGGCCCCAAGCUGAACACGCGGGUUCGAUUCCCGUCAUCUGCUCCA
rnacentral:tRNA from 1 species